GCCGCCAGCCAUAUCACCCUGUAGCCCAAGACUGGUUGCCCACUGAAGCUAAGCAGGGCUGAGCCUGGGCAGUACCUGGAUGGGAGACCUCCAGGGAAAACUAGGUUGCUGCUGGAA
rnacentral:rRNA from 1 species